AGUGGCGGACGGGUGAGGUAAUGUAUGAGCAACCUGCCUUUCAGUGGGGGACAACAGUUGGAAACGACUGCUAAUACCGCAUAAUGUACAGAGGGGGCAUCCCUUUUGUACCAAAGGAGCAAUUCGCUGAAAGAUGGGCUCAUAUCUGAUUAGUUAGUUGGUGGGGUAACGGCUCACCAAGACUGCGAUCAGUAGCCGGACUGAGAGGUUGAACGGCCACAUUGGGACUGAGAUACGGCCCAGACUCCUACGGGAGGCAGCAGGUGGGGAAUAGUUGGGCAAUGGGCGAAAGCCUCGACCCAGCAACGCCGCGUGAAGGAAGAAGGUCUUCGGAUUGUAAACUUCUUUUAUGAGGGACGAAGGACGUGACGGUACCUCAUGAAUAAGCCACGGCUAACUACGUGCCAGCAGCCGC
rnacentral:rRNA from 1 species